CGUACUCACCGCCAAAUUACCGCCAAAACCACAAGACCAGCGGAUCUCCCGCAGAAACGCCGCUGAAGGCUGCCAGUCUGCAGCCCCUCUGGCAUGUGCUUGCUGUGCUGGUACCUGGAGCCGCCCCUGCCAGCAGGAACGGUGGGCAAUCUGCUGACUGACAUCUGACUGCUGCUGAAUGCUUGCAGUUUUCACCCUGGUCUAUAUGCAGCUCAGCUAUAUGCCACUUUGGUCCCUGCUCCAGUGAUUGUAGGAAACUGUACCAUGCCAUUUAGCAAUGGGGAAACUAACAAGGCUGCAAUUCCUUGGACUCUUUGGCAGAGGAUUAACAAGUACCUCCUGGAAACUUUCCAAAGUCUCUCUCUGGAGGAUUCCCUACAGGUCUCAAUGUCCAUUGACACCCUGCUUGGCCAUGCAGAUUAGCUACACAGAAAACACUACCUGCCUGCCACUUUUUGAUUGCCUACCCAAGCCACAGCAACUUACCCGGCAUCUCAUCUGCUUCCUGCUCCCCACUGAGCACUUCUGGAGUGGAGAAAAGUUCCUGGCUGCCUGCCCCACCAGGCGACCCUGCUGGGAACUCCACUUCCUCUUCUAGCUCCACUUCUUCAUCCAGAAUUUCAGCUUGCGGUAACCCCCUCUUUCUGCUGCCUGUGAAGAAUCCAUGGGGCUAUUGGUGAUGGAGUUGGGAUGACCACCGAGGAUAGCAUUCAGCUCCUUAUAGAAGCGGCAGGUCUUAGGUGCACCACCAGAGCAAUGGUUCGCCUCCCUCGAUGCCUUACGGUACACCUGCCUCAGCUCCUUUAUCUUUGCUCUGCACUGCUGCGGGUCCCGAUCAUAGCCCUUUUCGCACGAGCCUUGAGAAAUUUGCCCAUAUAUAUCCUGAUUCCUGCGGGUCACUCACAGCUGCGACUGAACAGACUCUUCUCCCCAUAUACUGAUCAGAUCCAACAACUCAGCGAUGGUCAAAGUGGGAGCGCGUUUGGUGCAACAGCAAGCCAUGCUCACCUGGGAAGCUCCUCUGGGAAGCUAGCAAGCAGGAAAUGAGAUUUAAAAUUCCCGGAGCUUGCAAGGGGGAGGGGUGAGUUGGCUGCAGGGCAGUGGAAUUGAAAACGCUGACCAGAGAAUUGAGAGAAACUUUCUGGAGGCCAAUAAAAAUCGGGAAAAAAAACCUGUGGUGUCUACACUGCAUGUUUGUCAACAAUAAAGGGAGAGGAAAAGACAAAAGUCUCUCACAGGGGUGGAAGUUUUUUGUCGCCAAAACUAGGCAUUCCCCUCCAUCCC